UGGGGAAUAUUGGACAAUGGGCGCAAGCCUGAUCCAGCCAUGCCGCGUGAGUGAAGAAGGCCCUAGGGUUGUAAAGCUCUUUCAGCGGGGACGAUAAUGACGGUACCCGCAGAAGAAGCCCCGGCUAACUACGUGCCAGCAGCCGCGGUGAUACGUAGGGUGCGAGCGUUGUCCGGAUUUAUUGGGCGUAAAGGGCUCGUAGGUGGUUGAUCGCGUCGGAAGUGUAAUCUUGGGGCUUAACCCUGAGCGUGCUUUCGAUACGGGUUGACUUGAGGAAGGUAGGGGAGAAUGGAAUUCCUGGUGGAGCGGUGGAAUGCGCAGAUAUCAGGAGGAACACCAGUGGCGAAGGCGGUUCUCUGGGCCUUUCCUGACGCUGAGGAGCGAAAGCGUGGGGAGCGAACAGGCUUAGAUACCCUGGUAGUCCACGCUGUAAACGGUGGGUACUAGGUGUGGGGUCCAUUCCACGGGUUCCGUGCCGUAGCUAACGCUUUAAGUACCCCGCCUGGGGAGUACGGCCGCAAGGCUA
rnacentral:rRNA from 1 species